ensembl:snoRNA
GGCCUCCGGAUGCUUACCACAGGCUGUGUUCUUACACUGACUGUAUAGAAAGAGGAGGCAGAGUAAACCUACCCCAUAUACACCUCAGCCCAGGCCUGUGCCUACUCUGUGUUGUGAAUGGGGAGACAAAG